GUGGGAUAUCUGGUCUAGGGAGGAAAUGUGGAUAGGCUUGUCAAGUCAAUGGGAAGUUACGAGGCAUGCCAGCAACUCAUUUGGUUGUACAAGAUUCUGUUCAGAUCAACUCGAGAUAGAUUGAAUUCAUAGGUCGACCUAGAACUUGAACAAUAAUGGAUCAUGUUUGAGCCUGUAAUGGUUGUCAGCGUAUCUGAUUGUGAACACUUGCGGUUGAGGACUAUUGGAUAUUUCUUGUUGGACUACGUUAUGGUAUUUGGUUGUACUUGAAAAUGGAUUAGGACGGGUCAAUACAACAAAAUUCUUGUGUUACAAUUAAUUUGUGAAUCCCCAAAACUUUUGGUUUCACUAUGCUUUACCAGCCCAUUUCCAUGCUAUUUCAUGUUUCUUUAUAUCUGAUUUCUCAUGGUAUCAUUCUGGAUUGGAGUUUGAUGCUGUCAAACCAUAAGUCUUAAAACUUCAUGCUCUAAUUUGCCUAGUCUGGAGGCUGUCUGCUAUAUAAUUUUUCCCACUGUGAAAUCGAAGGCAUUAGAACUUGGAAGUAAACAAAAGUAUAAUUUUUUCAAUAAAUGCAUCCUUCACAAAUGGAAAUUUUGUAUGAGCUUUGAGGCUAUUGAGCCACCUUCAUUCUUAGAUUUAGAUGUUGGCAAUGCCUUUGUAUAUUUAGAAGUUCUUGGUUAUUAUUUCUAAGCAUUAUUGGUACUGGAAGGUAGUGCCUGUUCUGGAAACAUGACUAUCUUACGCAACAGGCUGAGCAGAUUAAGCAUGAAAGAAAAUCCACGCAACUAAUAAUUCUAGGUAAAUUCAAGAUAUUUCAUGCUGUGAAGAUGAUGAUUUAAGACUUGCUUUCUGUUUGACAUCAUGUGAUAUAGUUACAAGUUUAGAUAUUAUCAAGUUGGUGCUUUCAAUUGGCUAUGCUCGUUAAUGAGUGCUUAUUGCUAAUGAUAACUUUGGCAACGAAAUUUGUUAGGAAGGACCAUGUCAAGUGGUUUCGAUGUUAGUUCCGUUGCUUUUUGUGCCAAUCAUGUGGGAUGCCUAUUUUCAUUCGCAUGCUAUUUUUUUUUGGUGAAUAUUAUUAGCCUUUUGUUUUGGAAACCAAAUGAUAUCUCACUAAAAAUGAAUAAUUCAACUGGAAUUUGGAUUAAAGAGAACAAAAAAAGAUGAAGAGGCUUGAUUUGAUAAUUGUGGCGAUCAUACAAUGUCUGAUAUUACUUAUAGCAUCCAGCUUUUUAUGCCUUCCUCGGGUAGCUUUCCCUCUGGGAAUGAUGUUGAUGUGAAGAGGCUUUGGAUAGCACGGAAACAAUAGAGUGGAAAGCAUUUGCUGCUAUCCUUGACUUUAUCUGCCCUCUCUUUGGAAGUGGCCUGGUGCCCCUGGAAAUCUUGUCAAAUGCAGCAGCAGUAACAUCACGGACCUUGUUCAUUGUGUAUAUCAAGGACUUAGAAGUUUAUAUAGUGCAGCAACAACUCAUUGCAAUACCAGGUCCUGGAGAUUAUUGAUUAGGAGAGUGGAACAAUGUCUGUUGAUAAUGGUGAAGGGUUGGGAGGCAUGCCAGCCAAUUUGUCAGGCUGUACAAGAUUCCUUGUAGCUCAACUUGGGAGAUAUUGAUUUUCACAGUGUGGUUUGGUGACUGAUAGACUGAACAAAUGAUCCAUUGUUUAAUAUACAUGGUGAUAGCUCAGAGCAUAUCUGCCCAGGAACACGUGCGGCUUCCAGAGCUAUCUAGGAGCUUUUUGCUGGAUCUCGGGCAGGCUUCUAGACUUUUUGGUCAAUAAAACUUAUAGGGGGAUGGGAUGGGUACAACAUACACGUUUUACAAGGAAGGCAAGACUUGUUGGGUUGUUUUCAUUGUUUUUUGUCGGACAUAUAUUAGUUUAACUAGAAGCAAUUUGAACAAGCCUUGGGAAGCAAAACCUGUAUUGCUAUAAUGUUUCUGCCCAUGUUUUCAGGGAAACAACCUUUGAAAUUUCAAAAACUUAUAUUACUAAUGCAGGUCUAUCCACCAUCUUCUAUUGCAAA